rnacentral:rRNA from 1 species
UACGUAGGGGGCAAGCGUUGUCCGGAAUUAUUGGGCGUAAAGGGCUCGUAGGCGGUCUGUCGCGUCGGUAGUGAAAACUCAGGGCUUAACCCUGAGCCUGCUUCCGAUACGGGCAGACUAGAGGUAUGCAGGGGAGAAUGGAAUUCCUGGUGUAGCGGUGAAAUGCGCAGAUAUCAGGAGGAACACCAGUGGCGAAGGCGGGUCUCUGGGCCGAUACUGACGCUGAUGCGCGAAAGCCAGGGGAGCGAACGGG